GACGAAGCAAACUGUCCCACCUGCAGAGGUGGAGGAACCCGGUGGCUCCCAUUAACCUGUCCUGCAGGGGGUGAGGAGUUUAUAAACCAGGCUCAGUGGAGGCUGAGUUCUUUAGGGAAGGGAUGAGAGAAGCAGCUCUCUUGGCAUGUUUGAGAUCCCCUUUGUGGUGAGAGCUUGCAGUGACCUUAGAGGUCUUUUCUCCAACACUGAAAGCAUCCUCAGCUACCACGUGGCAGCUUGAUGCAGCAGAGAAAGCCCUGCUUGGAUCUGCAUUGCUGCGUGUGUGGUAAGGGGCAGCAGAACUAACCAGCCACUGAAGCCAGCAGUCCCGGUGUUGUGGUCCAUCUCCGUGCCAGUUUUCCUCACCCAUUUGGAGAUCCAAUGAUUCAUGAAGACCUCAAUUAAUUUGGGAAAGGGAAUAAAAUAGCGUUAAACGUGAUGAACCUCGCGCUGCUGCCAACCCCACAGUCAUUUCCGGACUCUUCCAGCUGGAUUUGUGGAUGGAAUCCUUGAACUUCUUUGCUGACUGGCAUCAUUACAAGCCCCAUGUUGGCCUAGGUGGGGAGAGAAGGGGACCAAGAAGACACUGAGAGACCUCUGGAGCAAAGUGAUGUGGGCUGUAGAUCUAUAGAUUAAAGCAAGGGUGAAGGCCAAGUGGUUGUGUCAGUCGCAAGAGCCAGGGCCAGGAGCUGGCCUUAGCAGCACAAGUCUUUCCAUUGCUGGUUCAUUCACUUCUACUGCUCAGGAAGGCAAAACCACAAGAAGAUGGUUGAAGUCAGGCAUCCAACAUCCCACUUCCCCCCAGGAUCCCGGUUGGUGUUUGCUGGCCAAGGCCCUGCACCAGGAGAAGGGUUUGCUGAGAGAGGAAAAGCUCAUCUGGGAUGGUUUUCACACCACAGGCAAGCCAAGCAGAAAGUUCCUCGAGGGUGGCCGACUUUCCAUAGCUGCUUUCCAGGGGGAUUUCUUCCCCAUUCCUCUCAGCAGCUGUAUUCACAGUAUUCCCACAGCCAGGAGCAACGGCCUAGAUCGCUGCAGCCAUCUGGAAAGGAGCUGUAGGGAAUCACAGCCCUGAUGUACCAAAGGAGAUGGUAGCGAUUUCUAAAGCAUCUGACAAAGCCCCAUUCCAAACCCUCCCUGAAGUGGGAGCCUUGAGCACCCGGGGGGUGAAGGACACAUUUCAUGUUCUAACAUCUUCUCCUGCACCAUUCUGGGUCCCUUCUGGCACCACAAAGGGCAGGAAAGGCCACAAAGCUCCUUAAAUUGGUGUCCGUGUCCUGCAGACUUGGCUGGAAAAGUGGGAAUUGAGCCUGGAGGAAAGCUCCAUCAGGAAUGAAAGGAGAAAAUUCCUCCAAGCCCUGUUCCGUGUGUGAAUUGAGCCAGGAGGGACCACACUGCAUCCCUUGUGUGCACAGGGCAGGACACUCACCCCAACGUGGUCCCACCACCUUCCCUGAGGCUGGGGAUGCCCAUUGUGGGCCAGACAAUGGGCAUGGAGCAUGAAUGGAAAAUGAUCUCCUGUGUUGGGCUGACAACAGGCUCUCUGUUG